GCGGCGAGCGGCGAACGGGUGAGUAAUACAUCGGAACGUGCCCAGUAGUGGGGGAUAACCUCUCGAAAGAGAGGCUAAUACCGCAUACGACCUACGGGUGAAAGCGGGGGACCGCAAGGCCUCGCGCUAUUGGAGCGGCCGAUGUCGGAUUAGCUAGUUGGCGGGGUAAAGGCCCACCAAGGCGACGAUCCGUAGCUGGUCUGAGAGGACGACCAGCCACACUGGAACUGAGACACGGUCCAGACUCCUACGGGAGGCAGCAGUGGGGAAUUUUGGACAAUGGGCGCAAGCCUGAUCCAGCCAUGCCGCGUGGGUGAAGAAGGCCUUCGGGUUGUAAAGCUCUUUCGGCGGGGACGAAACGGUCCGUGCCAACACCACGGACUAAUGACGGUACCCGCAGAAGAAGCACCGGCUAACUACGUGCCAGCAGCCGCGGUAAUACGUAGGGUGCAGGCGUUAAUCGGAAUUACUGGGCGUAAAGCGUGCGUAGGCGGUUUGUUAAGACAGGUGUGAAAUCCCCGGGCUUAACCUGGGAACUGCGCUUGUUACUGGCAGACUUGAGUGUGGCAGAGGGGGGGUGGAAUUCCACGUGUAGCAGUGAAAUGCGUAGAGAUGUGGAGGAACACCGAUGGCGAAAGCAGCCCCCUGGGCUAACACUGACGCUGAUGCACGAAAGCGUGGGGAGCAA
rnacentral:rRNA from 1 species